CCUGGUUGAUCCUGCCAGUAGUCAUAUGCUUGUCUCAAAGAUUAAGCCAUGCAUGUCUAAGUACAGGCUUUGGUACAGCGAAACCGCGAAUGGCUCAUUAAAUCAGCUAUAAUUUAUUAGAUUGUUCUUUACUUGGAUAACUGUGGGAAUUCUAGAGCUAAUACAUGCACAAAAGCUCCGACCUUCGGGAAGGAGUGCAGUUAUUAGACCAAAACCAGCCGAGCUUCGGCUCGAACUGUUUGGUGACUCUGGAUAACGAUGAGCGGAUCGCAUGGCCUUGAGCCGGCGACGUAUCUUUCAAGUGUCUGACCUAUCAACUGACGAUGGUACGCGAUAUGCCUACCAUGGUGAUAACGGGUAACGGAGAAUAAGGGUUCGACUCCGGAGAGGGAGCCUGAGAAAUGGCUACCACAUCCAAGGAUGGCAGCAGGCGCGCAAAUUACCCACUCUCAGUACGAGGAGGUAGUGACGAAAAAUAACAAUGCGGGACUCAUCAGAGGCCUUGCAAUUGGAAUGAGCGCACUUUAAAUCGUUCGACGAGGAUCUAUUGGAGGGCAAGUCUGGUGCCAGCAGCCGCGGUAAUUCCAGCUCCAAUAGCGUAUAUUAAAGUUGUUGCAGUUAAAAAGCUCGUAGUUGGAUCUGGGGUUCGGGUCGGCGGUUUGCCGCUUCGGCGGCUACUGCCGUCCUCGACUCUUACUAGCCGGUGCGUCUUGCGGUGCUCUUCAUCGAGUGCCGUAGGAGCCUGGCAUGUUUACUUUGAAAAAAUUAGAGUGCUCAAAGCAGGCGAUUCCGCCUGAAUAGUGUUGCAUGGAAUAAUGGAAUAGGACCUCGGUUCUAUUUUGUUGGUUUUCGGAACUUGAGGUAAUGAUUAAGAGGGACGGUCGGGGCAUUCGUAUUUCGGUGUUAGAGGUGAAAUUCUUGGAUCGCUGAAAGACGGACAAAUGCGAAAGCAUCUGCCAAGAACGUCUCCAUUAAUCAAGAACGAAAGUCAGAGGUUCGAAGACGAUCAGACACCGUCCUAGUUCUGACCAUAAACGAUGCCAACUAGCGAUCCGCAGUGGUUGCUAUAAACGGACUCUGCGAGCAGCUUCCGGGAAACCAAAGUGUUUGGGUUCCGGGCGAAGUAUGGUUGCAAAGCUGAAACUUAAAGGAAUUGACGGAAGGGCACCACCAGGAGUGGAGCCUGCGGCUUAAUUUGACUCAACACGGGGAAACUCACCCGGUCCGGACACUGUAAGGAUUGACAGAUCGAGAGCUCUUUCUUGAUUCGGUGGAUGGUGGUGCAUGGCCGUUCUUAGUUGGUGGAGUGAUUUGUCUGGUUAAUUCCGAUAACGAACGAGACUCUAGCCUGCUAACUAGUUGCGCCGUGUUCAUACGCGGCUGUAGACUUCUUAGAGGGACAG
rnacentral:rRNA from 1 species